GCUGGCGGCAGGCCUAACACAUGCAAGUCGAGCGCGAAAGCACUUCGGUGUGAGUAGAGCGGCGGACGGGUGAGUAACGCGUACGAAUCUACCUAGUAGUGGGGGACAACUCGGGGAAACUCGAGCUAAUACCGCAUACGCCCUACGGGGGAAAGCGGGGGACCUUCGGGCCUCGUGCUAUUAGAUGAGCGUGCGUAAGAUUAGCUUGUUGGUGAGGUAAUGGCUCACCAAGGCGACGAUCUUUAGCUGGUCUGAGAGGAUGAUCAGCCACACCGGGACUGAGACACGGCCCGGACUCCUACGGGAGGCAGCAGUGGGGAAUAUUGCGCAAUGGGCGAAAGCCUGACGCAGCCAUGCCGCGUGUGUGAAGAAGGCCUUCGGGUUGUAAAGCACUUUCAAUUGGGAGGAAAGGUUCAAGCUUAAUACGCUUGAGCUGUGACGUUACCUUUAGAAGAAGCACCGGCUAACUCCGUGCCAGCAGCCGCGGUAAUACGGAGGGUGCAAGCGUUAAUCGGAAUUACUGGGCGUAAAGCGCGCGUAGGCGGCUUGUUAAGUCGGAUGUGAAAGCCCCGGGCUCAACCUGGGAACUGCACCCGAUACUGGCAAGCUAGAAUGCGAGAGAGGGGGGUAGAAUUCCAUGUGUAGCGGUGAAAUGCGUA
rnacentral:rRNA from 1 species